rnacentral:ncRNA from 1 species
GAUAACUGGCUUGUGGCGGCCAAGUGUUCAUAGUGACAUCGCUUUUUGAUCCUUCGAUGUCGGCUCUUCCUAUCAUUGUGAAGUAGAAUUCACCAAGCGUUGGAUUGUUCACCCACCAAUAGGGAACAUGAGCUGGGAUUAGACCGUCGUGAAACAGGUU